GGGGGAGCUGGGCGGUUCAGUGUUCUGGGUGGAGCUCCCAGUCAGGAAAUGUACAGAACCGAGUGGAACCGUCAUCGCAUGAGGCUCCUCUCACCGGAUGAAACUUUAUCAUCAUGAAUUCACCCAGAAACGGCGCAGAUCGGGAUCUGCAGGAGCUGCCUCAACUUCUGCACAGUGUUUGAAUGUGCAUGUUAGAAAGUAGCUGAACAUGCAAGGGGCCAUUGCACGAGUGUGCAUGGUGGUGGCUGCUGCCAUAUUGAACCACCCCUCGCUCUUCCCUCAAGAAAACUCCACGCUUCCUGAGCACGACGAGGACCUGAUAGCUCGCAUGCGGGAACAUGAAGAGAGGCUGGAGAUGGAGCAGGCCAAGCUGGAGAAAGAGCUUUCACAGAUGGAAUCAAAGCAGAAGGAGACCAGCUUGGAGGAAGGUUACAGCUGGUACUUCUGGAGCGCCUUGUCUUUUGUGAUAUUCCUCACUAUCGAGAUGUGCAAGGUGGAUUUUACCGAAGCAGAAAUCCGGCCAGUUGAGGAUGAAGACGUGUUCUCAGAGACUGGAUCCAUCACUUCCAGGAUGAUGGUACUAGACAAGGACAUCCUGAGCAACUUCUGUGGCAAAUGCACCUACGCUGCAGCCCAUGAGAACUGGAGGGUGAGGGAGUUUGUGGAGGGUUUUGCAGACGACCUGCUCGAGUCGCUCAGGAGCAUUUGUGACCGGGAGGUGGACAUGGAAGUGGGGGACUUUGUCGGGAUUGGAAGCAUGUUUGAGUCUUGGAAGGUGUGCAAGCCUCUGAUGUGCGAUCUGAUAGUGCCUUUCUCACCUCCAGACCCGCACUCCUUCCAGUACCAUCUGUGGUGCAGCCCGUCCAGUAACAUACCUCCAGACAUGCAGGGCUGCGGCAAGAUAAAGGUGACCAGGUUUGGGGAGAGCGAGGAGGGCUGCCUCUGUGGCUCUGCCAACCUGGGGGAGGACAUGCUCUGUCUGCUGCACAGCAGGAAUGACACAGCCAGAGUUAGCCACAGUCCCGAUGAACUGCUCUGCUCUAAAAACACACACUUCUUAGCCAAAGAUCAAGUCAUGAGGUGGUUUCAGAUCUCUGUCACCAAAGCUUGGGGACGCAUCUCCCAUAAGUACGACUUUGAGGUCACCUUUCGCAGCCUGGAUGCCGCUGGAGCUCUGAAGAUCCGGUUCCGUUCUGGGAAAGUCAUCGUAAUGAACAUCAUCCCGGUGGUUCAGCUGGAAAAUACAGAUGCUUAUUUUGUCUCACACUUCCCAUCGGAUUGUGACAGCUACCCCGACCCUUACUGGCCUCUUUCUUUUGCCGUCUAUGAAAGGAAUUUGCUGAAACAUUUUGCUAAACGCCUACCACAGAAUUCCUGCCAUCUUCACUGCCUCCAGAUUGUUACUUUCCUACACAGAAAACAGUCAGGGCUCACAGGGAAAUGUGCCCUCACAAACUACCACCUAAAAACUACUCUGUUGCACUUGUUGCUGAGUAAAAAGCCCUCUGCGUGGGGCGCUGAGAGCUUGGAGCACCGGCUUCAGGAUGUCAUCGGCUUCUUGCAGAGGAGCCUGCAGGAGAAGAGACUAAACCACGUCCUGAUUGGGAACAGUAAAGUGCCCAAAGAAGUCCGGGUUCCUGAGAUGAUUCGCAAAGCGGAGCCUAUAAAUCUGUUCAGAUCUCUGGUGUUGCAGAGGGAACUUUACGCAGCAACAGUCAGGCAUUUUCAGGAGAUGCAAAGAAAUGCAGCUGUGCUUUUACAGGAGUACACACCUCACUUAUCAAAUGGAGGUUUGCAUCACAGUCUAGAUGAAAGCUUAUGAGCUCAGGCCAUACUCAGUGUUAAGAGUAAGUCUUUAAAUAUCAGUCAGUGUUACCAGAAGUAAUGUUACUAAUAGAAGAUGCACCUCUUUAAGUUGUGGCUGAUAUCUAAUAUAGACAUGCUGUGUUUUUUUAUUUGCUACAGAUGCUUUCUUUACUCCAGAGAACCAGUGUGUUGUUCAGCAGUGAAUUCAGUUUUAUGCAACAUCUAGUACCAAAAUAGCAACUGAUUGGUCAGUGAUGUCCCUCUGCCAACAAGUAAUCUACAUGAACAAUAAUAGUUUUAGAAAUGCUUUCUAACAGAAAUACCUCUCAUGCUGUGCAGGUCCAACAUUUACCAAACAGUACAGCAGUGUUUUGUUUUUCAGUCAUACUGCUGCAAGUCUCAUGGCAGCUAUUAAGAGUUCUCAUGUUCUCUCCUUUUAUUUUAAUUACGUUUUGCAGCUUAUUUCUUCAUUUUUUUUCCCCGUGAUAUUUCUCAUGUCUUGAUGUCAGAUCUUUAGACCACCUUGUGUUAACCUGGGGGGAAACAUGAUGUUUUUUAUGCAUUUGUACGACAAACAGAUAAUUCAGAUUCAGGUCAGAGUCAUUGCAUGGACAGAUUUUAUUUUCAGCGACAUUUUGGAUUAUUGAAAACACCCUGAGUUAAGUGAUUAUUGUAUGUCAUUACUCCGCCAAGGAACGCAGCGGAGUUAUGUGACGAUCAGCGUACGUUUGUCCGUAAAUAUGUCUGUCUGUGUGCAACAUUAUUAAAAAAAAACAAAAAAACAGACCAACAGAUUUGGAUGAAAUUUUCAGGGAAGGUCAACAAUGACAAAAGGACCACCUGAUUAGAUUUUGGCAGUGAUGCAGCUUAAAUCUGGAUCUACAUAUUUAAGGAUUUCCCAUUGCGAGAUAUAGCAGCCAGCACAGUGUCACCAUGACAACAAGCGAUUAUUGUGUGUCAUUGCCAUUAUAGAGAUUCCAUUUUUUCCUCUGAUAACACAACACCUCAAAAAUGUACAAUGAGGAAACAUUUUUACUCUUUGGAACUGUUAUUACAUCAAAGUUGAAAAAAAAAAUAAA